rnacentral:rRNA from 1 species
UGCAAGUCGAACGGUGAAGAGGAGCUUGCUCCUCGGAACAGUGGCGGACGGGUGAGUAACACGUGAGCAACCUGGCUCUAAGAGGGGGACAACAGUUGGAAACGACUGCUAAUACCGCAUAACGUACCGGGAUGGCAUCUUCCUGAUACCAAAGAUUUUAUCGCUUAGAGAUGGGCUCGCGUCUGAUUAGAUAGUUGGCGGGGUAACGGCCCACCAAGUCGACGAUCAGUAGCCGGACUGAGAGGUUGAACGGCCACAUUGGGACUGAGACACGGCCCAGACUCCUACGGGAAGGCAGCAGUGGGGGAUAUUGGACAAUGGGGGCAACCCUGAUCCAGCGACGCCGC